ACUACGCCUCAGUGUAUACAUGUGAUAUUUAUUCCAAUUACAAUGAUUAGAUGUUGAAACAUACCUGUAAAAUCUCAAAGUCUGGCAAGGUAACAACAUCUGGCUGUGACCUAUGCUGUACCACUUCGUCCCCAUCUUUUUCAUAAUACACGAUUGAAUACUAGGAAAAAUUUAUAACUAAUAUUAUCUGUUGACCUGUGAAAUAUUUAUGUUCAAAAUUAAAUAAAAUUUACUAACCGGAACACCAUCCAUUGUAACUUCAGGGAAUUCCAACAUCAAGUACAGGAGUUGUUGUUGGACAAUUGCCAUCGGCCUCAACACAAGGCCAAACUCUUAAAUCCAACAUUCCUUGCCGGAAUACUCCAUGUUUUCCAAACAGCGAGAUCGUUGUUCCUCCUACAGGUAGUUGUCUUCCUGGUCCAGCACAGUCAUAAAGUGUAAUACAAAGCUGUGCAUCUCUAGGUAGAUCUGAAUAAGCUACAGGCAGCGUCACCCAUUGAUUCCAGCUAAAGGUAGCGCAAGAGGUCUUCCGCCGGCCCAGACUUGAAAAGAUGCUGCAAGAUCUCCCCGUCCUCCUCCUGUUCCAUAUAGACCGGAAUAUUUCAACAUCGGAUCAACCAGCAGCUUAUCAUACUCUGGUCGUUGUCGUUUGCCCUCAAGAGUACCACUGAAAGUCUCCGUGUUAUGAGGCAUUCAUUUAAUACAGAAUUAGAAUGGAAAAAAACAGCAUGAGGAAUUGGAUGAUUCGGCAGCUGGUAGAUUAUACUAUUGUAUCAAAGAGGAAGAAAAGCAACGAAUCAAAUGUUUAAUGAUUAAAUUUAUGGACGAGCAAAUCACAUUUCAGAUCUUAAAAUGAAAUAUAUCAUUAGGCGAAUUGACUGGGAUGUGAAAUUUUAUAAACUUUACGGAAAGAGUCAAGGAAUGAACUUUGUCAUUCGAUGAUGCCGUAAAUUAUGUAGUAAACAAGGACUGAAGGCAACUAUGCUGAGGUUAUCUAUAACCUGCACAAAGUAAGAUUCUCUAACCAAUCUAUUUCGGAGUUCUACAUACUAGGUCACGGAGGAAUAGUG